ACGUACAAAGUAGGACCUUAUUUGUAUAAAUACUUACGAUUUUUAUUUAGUUUCAACAUACAUUGUAUACCAAAGAAAUAUAAACAUGAGAAAUUUCGCUUUACUUUGCGUGUUUAUGUUGACAUUUGAUGUAAACGCUCAACUAUCAUACAAUCCGAUAACCCUCAGUGAGAAUUAUUUAAAUAGAGGGUGUCCUAUUCUUAACUGCCCGUACAUAUCAUGUCCUUCUAGAUGUAAAAUGCCAACAUUGUUCCGAUACAAUGGGAGACUUUGUAGAGGCUGUCAUAUAAAUAUAUGUUCAUCAUACAUACAACCCAUAGACAUGGAUAUUGGAUCCACGCAGUAAACUUUCUAGCCUCGACGAGUCCAGUGUACUAACCAAAUGAUUGUGUGAAAUCCAUAAAUGCUGCCAUAAACUAUUUAUUAACAUAUUUGCUUUGUUUUAAUUUGUCAUUUUUAAUAAAUUAUUUUUAUACUUUCA